GACGAACGCUGGCGGCGUGCUUAACACAUGCAAGUCGAACGGUAGCAGGCCUUCGGGCGCUGACGAGUGGCGGACGGGUGAGUAACGCGUAGGAAUCUGCCUAGUAGGGGGGGACAACUUAUGGAAACGUAAGCUAAUACCGCAUACGCCCUAAGGAGGAAAGCGGGGGAUCGAAAGACCUCGUGCUAUUAGAUGAGACUGCGUUGGAUUAGCUAGUUGGUGGGGUAAAGGCCUACCAAGGCGACGUGCCAUCGCUGGUCUGAGAGGACGAUCAGCCACACUGGGACUGAGACACGGCCCAGACUCCUACGGGAGGCAGCAGUGGGGAAUAUUGGACAAUGGGCGGAAGCCUGAUCCAGCAAUACCGCGUGUGUGAAGAUGGCCUGAGGGUUGUAAAGCACUUUCAAUAGGAAGGAAUACCUACCAGUUAAUACCUGGUAGACUGACAUUACCUAUACCAGAAGCACCGGCUAACUCCGUGCCAGCCGCCGCCGUAACAC
rnacentral:rRNA from 1 species